rnacentral:rRNA from 1 species
GACGAACGCUGGCGGCGUGCUUAACACAUGCAAGUCGAACGGAAAGGCCCUGCUUUUGUGGGGUGCCCGAGUGGCGAACGGGUGAGUAACACGUGAGUAACCUGCCCUUGACUUUGGGAUAACUUCCGGAAACUGGGGCUAAUUCCGGCUAGGAGCUCCUGCUGCUUGGCGGGGGUUGGAAAGUUUCGGCGGUUGGGGAUGGACUAGCGGCCUAUCAGCUUGUUGGUGGGGUAGUGUCGUACCAAGGCUUUGACGGGUAGCCGGCCUGCGAGGGUGACCGGCCACAUUGGGACUGGGAUGCGGCCCAGACUCCUACGGGAGGCAGCAGUGGGGAAUAGUGCACAAUGGGCGGAAGCCUGAUGCAGCAACGCCGCGUGCGAGAUGACGGCCUUCGGGUUGUAAACCGCUUUCGCCGGUGACGAAGCGUGAGUGACGGUAAUGGGUAAAGAAGCACCGGCUAACUACGUG